CUAUUAUUUUAUAGUGUAAAAAUUGAUUUAAUUUACCUAAGUAUUAUGAAGAUAGUUUUAUUAUUAAUUUUUUGUUUAAAACUUAAAAAGUUUGGCGGUUUUACAUAUCCAUUUAGGGGAGUCUGUUAAUAUAACUUGAUAAUCCGCAUUUUAAACUAAUUUUUUUUUGAUAUAGUAAUUAUUGAUAUGUAAUUAUUACAGUUUAUAUAUUGCUGUCGUCAGUUUAUAUUUUGAGAUUAAAAGAACUAUUAAAUAUUAUAUAUUUUUAUGUCAAGUCAUAAUGUAGCUAAUGAAAAAGGGUUAAUGGACUACUAUAAUUAAUUUUAUUUACUUAUCCGGAUAAUGAAAAUUAAUAUUUAAUAGUAAGGUGGGCCUUAAUAGUAAAUUAAUGAUUAGUAUGCAUUAUCGAAUAUUGGUUUUGUAAAAUAU
rnacentral:rRNA from 1 species